GACAGAGGUGCCAAGCGUUAGGCGGAAUCACUGGGCUUAAAGCGUGUGUAGGCGGAUCGUUAAGUACCUUGUGAAAUCCCACGGCUCAACCGUGGAACUGCUGGGUAUACUGGCGAUCUUGAGCCACCUAGGGGCGAGCGGAACAAGCGGUGGAGCGGUGAAAUGCGUAGAUAUGUGGAAGAACAUCGGUGGCGAAGGCGGUUUUCUAGCUUAUUCCUGACGCUGAGGCGCGAAAGCAAGGGGAUCAAACAGG
rnacentral:rRNA from 1 species